rnacentral:rRNA from 1 species
UAGGGAAUCUUCCGCAAUGGGCGAAAGCCUGACGGAGCAACGCCGCGUGAGUGAUGAAGGUCUUCGGAUCGUAAAACUCUGUUAUUAGGGAAGAACAAAUGUGUAAGUAACUAUGCACGUCUUGACGGUACCUAAUCAGAAAGCCACGGCUAACUACGUGCCAACAGCCGCGGUAAUACGUAGGUGGCAAGCGUUAUCCGGAAUUAUUGGGCGUAAAGCGCGCGUAGGCGGUUUUUUAAGUCUGAUGUGAAAGCCCACGGCUCAACCGUGGAGGGUCAUUGGAAACUGGAAAACUUGAGUGCAGAAGAGGAAAGUGGAAUUCCAUGUGUAGCGGUGAAAUGCGCAGAGAUAUGGAGGAACACCAGUGGCGAAGGCGACUUUCUGGUCUGUAACUGACGCUGAUGUGCGAAAGCGUGGGGAUCAAACAGG